rnacentral:rRNA from 1 species
GAUGAACGCUGGCGGCGUGCCUAACACAUGCAAGUCGAGCGAUUUACUUCGGUAAAGAGCGGCGGACGGGUGAGUAACGCGUGGGUAACCUGCCCUGUACACACGGAUAACAUACCGAAAGGUAUGCUAAUACGAGAUAAUAUACUUUUAUCUCAUGGUAGAAGUAUCAAAGCUCUGGCGGUACAGGAUGGACCCGCGUCUGAUUAGCUAGUUGGUAAGGUAACGGCUUACCAAGGCGACGAUCAGUAGCCGACCUGAGAGGGUGAUCGGCCACAUUGGAACUGAGACACGGUCCAAACGUCCUACGGGAGGCAGCAGUGGGGAAUAUUGCACAAUGGGCGAAAGCCUGAUGCAGCAACGCCGCGUGAGCGAUGAAGGCCUUCGGGUCGUAAAGCUCUGUCCUCAAGAAGAUAAUGACGGUACUUGAGGAGGAAG